UGUCCAUGAUCCCUAGGUUUCCACCUUUUGUUAACACAACUCUCCUACAUGAUAUUAAUUUCAGUUGCUUGAUGGUAGGAACAUACGGGUGCACUACGCGAACCACAGAUGAUCUUCUGCUUUUGUCGACAUCGCUAAGAUUCUCGCUCACUGGUUCAUGUAGAAAGAGAAUGUAAACUGUAUCCACUUUUUCUUGGAUCAUUUUGGAUUGCUGAAUGGAAAACACAUUCAAGGCACAAAAUCUAUGAGAAUCGUGACAAGUAAUUGUACCCAAAAGGAUUACUGCCCUAUCUGGCGAUCUGUAUUGAGUUGAUUUAAGCUAGAACUGAGAAACAAGUUAGCUUUGAAAAAACAAAAUGGUUAUUUCUUGAUC